ensembl:lncRNA
CAGAACGCCGAGGUUCCGGCUGCAGGUUCCCUGGUGGGGCAGCAACGUGCCAUAAGCACCACUUACGGCACUUUGCUGGUGAUGGCCUUUGGAGACUGGCUUUUAGCAGUGUAUUCAGGAAGAGAAGUGGGGAAUGACCAUGGAAAUUACGCAGCUUGCGAGCUCCAGCUUCCUUUCAAAUGACUUUGCUACACAAAUUUCACUUUGCAGUAUAUCAAUAUAUAUACAGCAUCUUUCCUUGACGCUUAAAUGGACGCUGUAUUUUUCUUCUGGGAUAUCCAUGCAUAGAAAAACAAACAAAAUCUGCACACUCAGAAUGCUCAGACCUGACUGCCUCCUGCAAAAAUGAGCUAUAGGGUAACCCAAGAGAUAAUCAUCGGAGGAUAACUGCGUGUUAUCCCCAUGCAAAACCCCUAUCUGCAUUCGAAAGGGGGAGCUGCAGAAGCUGCUAACGGUCCAGAAACAUCCUGAGGACACAAAAUUUGCCUUCACAAAACUCCUAAAGAAAGAUAACGGAUGGAAACCUCAAAGAACACAAAACCCGGGUUUUCAGGGUUUUUUAGCUGCACGUGAACGAACCGAAGUACCAGAUAAAGCGCAAUUAUCCUUUAAAGCUUACCUUUUGUUGUCGUAGUUGUUUGUAAGCCACGCAGCUGUUCUCCAGAACACCACCUGCAAGAACCUGCACGCGGAGCGUUCCGUCUUUGCAGCGUCAGUAAGAAUCAAGGGCAAGAGUUUGGUGGGAGUUUCUAACUUUCAAAAUGUUCAAAGAGAGAUUCACCUGAUUGAAAAGCUGCUUUCCCAUUAUUUAGUGCAGAAAACUGAAAAAGAUAUUGUAAUUAAGCUCAGGAGAUCAAUUAGCAUGUUAAACAACCACACGCGAGAUUCAAAACGUUACUCGCGGGUCAGCCAAUAGAAGAGAGUGCUCACAGGUGGAACUUUCUAGACUUGAUGAUGGUGCAGGGACAGCUGAACCUGUGGGCCUGAGCACCCAGCUGCGAGUAAUUGCGCUACAAAUCAGGGCCUGAAGAUAAGUUCCCCCCUGGGGGGUUUGACUUUUGUUUGUUCGGAGAACUGAUCGGUGUGAAGUUGCUGCCCCGGGAUGCCGUCAAGCUACGUUUUGAGCUGGAACAAGAUUGGAAAAAAGAUGGUGGUUUGACCACGAGGAUUGCUCGAGAAUGAAGGGGGACUACUCCGGAUGGGCUGAAAUGGGAAGGCUCCAUCUCAGAGGAGUGUUCUGGCGAUCUACCUGGAUAGGAACUGGAUUCUGCAGUCCUGAGUCAUGGUCAUGAGGAGAAGAGCUGUAAUGCUGUGAUACAGAAUUUCCGAUCUCUAACCUGAGCAGACGUGGCCUGCUUGUCAGCCUGGUCGCAAGGCAGCUCAGAUCCCGGCUUGGAUGCUUCAGGGUCACAGCCUCCAUCAGAUGAGCACAUGGAGGGAUGCAAAGACGGAAGAUGCCUCAUCUGCUGGGAAAUUCAACUACAACUGAAAUAGCUCAUCAUAAGCAAUAGUGAGCAGAGUGAUUACGGUCAAAAACGCAACACAGUGAGUGAGUAAUGCAUGCAGCUCCAGCACUUCCCUACCUCUUAUGGACGAUGGGAGGUUGAAACAGCUCAUCUUUGAGAACUUUUGUUCCUGGUUUUGGGACACUUGAAAGAGAGCAUCUCCCAGUGGCAAAGAUAAGAGCCCACGUCCUUCCUGUAUCCUGUGGCUAUGCAUUCUCAGCCACAAGAGUCAGCAAGUCCCCUUCCAGAGGGAAGCGAUUUGGACAAUAACAUCUCAGACUGAUGCUGCUAAUCUGCCCUUACCCAAGGGAAGUGGGUGAGGUCAGAAGACGGGGAAAGACUUGUCUGCUGUCAGGAUGAUGGUGAUACUGACGCAUCAAAUAGAGCUGAAUGCUGCUGUAAAGUGCCUAGGGACCCAACCUGUGGAAAUCGAAGUCUCUGAGGAUUCCUAUGUGACCAAAGGUUGGAUUUCACUUCUCAAAGAGUCAGCUUUUGAGCAUUCCUUUAUGGAGCUGCAAGAACAUAAAGUCAUCACAGAGAGCCUCGUUAAAAGUGUUUAAUGAGAGCAGUGUGAUCCCACAGCCCAAGGGUCAGCAUGAGAGCAAGGACAGCCCAGAAGCCUCGUCCCACCAGAGACCCCAUUCAUCAAGGGACACACUGACUGCUGUCACCAACACCCAGACAGGCACAGGAGACAAAGCAACCCAAGAGAACUGCAGCUGGGUAUCAACGCCAGUGCGAAUUUCUCAGCCCAGAACAAGCCAAGACUCACUUCUGGCCAAAAUUCCUGCACUAAUGCUAACCACCAUCUGAUUACAUGAUUUUCCUGAGAUCCUGCUGCAAGUCGUUGUCACAGAAAGGGCUCAUGUGGGCACACUGCAGCCCUGGUUCCCUGCUGCCUACCUCUGCCUCUGGUUGGUCCGGUGCCCUGAGCAGCCCCAUCACCUGUGCUCUGCUCCCUGCUGGAAAAACAUGCUCGUUUUCAAAGGUGUGUGGCUGGAGCUGUGCUUGAGACAAGUCCGAAUGCUCUCUGCCUGGGGAGCAGGAUGGGGCUGAGGGGAAGAAAAGCAGCAGUUAAUGCAGUAAAAGAGAGAAGGAGAUUUUUCCGUGCAGUCAACAUGUUGCAUGUGCAUGUCCAGAGUUCUCGUGAACCAAAAACCAAUUCACUGACUGAGCUGAGGAAACUCCUCCCCGUGUUGGUUCAUUCCCUGUGCUGCACAUCUGCUCCUGGAAGCCAUGACCCACUGCUCAUCCGCCGGGCUGACAGCACACCAAGUCCUGCCUAAAUGCAAGAACCUCAGAGCAUCAGUAGGACAUCCCACCCAGCCAAAGAACCCGGAGGAAACUUCUAAGCUUGUAUGAGUCACUCAUCAUCUCAAGCAGCAUUAGAAGGAAAUUGCCUUAGGGCACUGUCAUCACCAUUUGUGAGUAUUUGUUGACAGCAAAUGUCUGUGCUACUGUUACGAACCUCAGGCUGGGCUAGGUUUGAACCUAAGAUCACCACUUUUAGCACAUAUACAUUGGCCAGCUGGGCUGAAAAAUGGAGAAUUCAGCAUCACCAGAAGCUGGCAGUUGCCUUAAAGUUAAUGUGCAUCUGCGCAUAGCCUUCGCCAGCAACAAAUGCAGAGUGAUGGGCUUAGCUUAGUUGAGAACAAAGUAUUCUUACAUCCCAAUGAACCUGAAAAGACGGAGGUGAAAAAAAAUACCAUUACUGAUCUGGAACUAGAUGUUAGCAGGGGACAAAACUGCAAAUAGAUAUGCACACACACACUUCUGCCAUUGUUACACAAUCUUUCACAGCUACCAACAAUCUGCACAUAAUCCCUGAGUCUAGUUCACGUUCCCAUGAUCUGAUGGCAUCACCAGGAGAGUGCUUAUGUAUUCCAGCCAGGGCAAGCAGCACAGACUGGAGGCUUCCCAGGCAAGAAUAAGGUUGAUGCGUGUGUCACCUAAAAGCCCCCCUUCCACAUAUCUCACUCUAAGACAUCUCCCUGAAUUUACUGCCUACAAACCAACUGGCAAGCAGACAUUACAGCUUUUCCUAAAAUUUAGGUGAGCAGCAGCAAGGAGGUGGCUGGGCCAUUGCCUCCCAGCUCUUCCUCCAGGCUGCUCAGCUCAGUCUGUGUAACCUCAUCAGCAUCCUAGCAAAAAGCUAUUUUUGCCUCCUAAACAAGCACAAGAAAAACCUUGGUUGAAGCAGAAUGGAAAAGAGCUUCACGGCUUCCCUGGAGAAGGGGAAUGCAAGAUGGUGGUUGGUAGCCAUCUAUCCCAUCUGUUGGAGCCUAGACCCAGUUUUGUCUAAAGAUCCUUGGACAAAUUUGAUGUGCUCACAAAGGGUGGCUGAGAUCCUAGCAGAGCUGAAGUUGACUUCAGACCUGGCCAGCCCAAGCAGAGGACAUUGCUGUUGUUUAAAAAUGAUACUCAUUAAGAGCAGAAGUCAGGCAAUGAUCACCUUCUGUAGUUGAUAAUACUCAAGGAGGGAGAUGGUGGAAAAAUGAAACCUUGGAAAAUAAAACUUAUUUGGCACCGCUGAUUAAAACCAGUUUGCGUUUCAUUGUUAAAGGCUGUGUUUGCUCAAGGUUUAUUCAGCUCUGGUCUCUUCCAUCCACAUACGGUUUGUUUUAAUGACUGUGGAGUUAUAUGAAUCUAUUAAUUUUUUUUUCCUGAAAGUUUCAUAACAACAAUGCCUGUUUUUUUCAUACAGCACUUUACAGCCACGCAUCUGGAAAUACAUUGCAAAUAGGCAAUUAGUAUCAGCCCUAUUUUGAAGAUGGAGAUACUCAGAGUCCAAGCAAGACAGCUAUUAAAGAACGGUGCCAAAAUUAGGCCUUUUGCUUCAUCUUGACAAGCUAGAACUACAGCCUCUUGAAGACAACAGGGAUGCAUGAAAAGCAUUUCAUUUAGCUAGCAGUAACUCUGGCUCAGGUUGGACAGACAAGAGGACAGCAGCAAAGACAGACUGACUCAUGCUAAACAACAGAGGUAGGAAGAGGACUUCCAGUAAUGACAGACUUAGGUCACUGCAAGCACUUACUUCCCAAAGCCAGUGCUGAGGGAUCUAUCUCCAGUGAAGGGCUGACCAUCACAGGUUCCUGUUUUCUGAUAAGAGCUUGCUGCAUUUUUCCUCUCCAUGUUUUUCAGCCUUUCCAGAUCUUCCUGUUAAAGCACAGAGUUGAAAACCAAUAAGAUAAUAUUAUUUGAGGCAAAUCUCUAACCCUUUAAUCAGGCUAUGUGGGAGGCAAGAAAAUGUUAGAUGCAAGGGAAUAUUAAAUUAAUAAUACUAUGUUGAAGUUGAGAUUAGUCAGAUUCCAGAGACGUAUAAUAACUAAGUGCUGCCACCUCUGAUAUGGCUGUGUGGAGGCAAUGAGCAGGCUCACAGCAAGGAAGCAGGUCCUGGGCAGGACAAUGCUGCCAGACAUACUGUGGCAGUGCACUCAGCCCUUCACAUAGCUGCUGGAUGUAAUACCACAGCCCCUACAAAAGCUCAGAGCAGCCUUAUCCCAGGGUGCUGCACGAUCUUCCCACCUCUCCAUCGCAUCCAGCCCAACCUGGGGUGCUGCAUCCAGGGGUGCCCAGUCCUGUCUGGUGUUCCUGGAUCCCUGCUCACAGGUGGGAUGCUCAGGAGUGUCAGUGAUGGGAGUGAAAAUGAGGUGAACAGGUAAGAAUACAGACACUAUAAAGAAGUGAAGAGUGAAGAAACAUUUGGAAGAAAAACACAAAGGAAUUAAAGAUAUCUAGAGUGAAAGAGAUGGUGAAUGGCCUGAAGGGAGUUAAUGAGAUCCAGAAAUGCAAGUUGGAGAAAUGUUGAUUUUAUUUAGCAUUAAUUGCAGGAAAGAGCCUAUAAAGUGUGGUAAAAAAAUUAUUAAGUACCACUAUGCAAUGCCAGCUUUAUGCCAGCCAUCCCUACGAAGCAGGUGUAUUAUUCCUAGUUCCCUAGGUAUAAAUAAAUAACUGCUUUUCCAUGGUUUUCUUUUUUUUUUUUUUUAAAUGAUGGCUUUUCAUUAAUUUUUACUGCCAUAUUGUUAUAGUUCUGAUUCCUCCAGAGCAGCUCUGGGGAUCAGUUGGUGCUGGAGUGUGUGUAUGCAGGUUGGUACCUGCGAGCCAUGGGGCACUGCAUGGGAGAUGCAGUGUCUGUGAUCAUAGCACCCCAGGGGUGCAGCCCUGGUCUUCUUGCCCAUGGACUAAACAUGACCUCACCCAUGGUCUGAGCUCUGACAGCAACAUCUGGGUAAAUACAGAAAGGAACCUGAUGGAAAAUGGACAGUUUGAUGGUUGAUGGACAGUUGAAGGGUGAUGCAUUUUGCAUCGAGGGCUCAUACAGCAAAGCCCAGAAGGAACAGACGGACCACGUUACCCAAGAAACCUUUCCCAAGAUUGAGGUUGCCCUGGGAAAGAACAUUCUGAGGGACAUCACCACGAUGCAAGCACUGGUAUCAUGUCAACCCAUUGGUUGUGGUGUUGGCCUCUGGUGUCAGGGACGGGGAGUUGGGCUUCCCAUGCCACCACAGCCAUCCAGCACUCCUGACUGCACACUCCAAGACAAGAAAAGAAAAAGGAAAAUAAAACCUAUGUUCCGUUCCACUUUUAACUUUCUGCUCAUGCCCAUACAUUCCUCCUGGCGUUAUUACAAACGGGCUCCAAUGUUGCCUUUGUUAAGAAUGAGAGCAGAGCACAUUUCCCCGAGCAAUGUUUGUAUCAGCAUUUUCAGGCUCCUUUUAUCGAGUCUCGCACUUCUCAGAGGAGACUCAGCGGGGAGAUGAGCUCUGGAUGCGUUUUCCUAGCAACGUCUCGCUUCAGAGAGGCCACCAAAGACGUUCAGGGAAGCAGUGAUUCCCUGGUAGUGCCUCAGUCCAAGCUCUGACCUGGAACCGUGGGCUCAGCAAAUACACAUAAAUCUUCAGCUCACGUCCAAAUCAUCGCAAGGUUCAGUGAAAAUAGCAAAACUGCCAGUGGAUCUAACCGAAGUUUUAAUCCAGCUCCAGCAUGAUUUAUGGCCUCAGGUGGAAACCAUGAAGCACAAUGGCCUCAGCCCAAGCCAGGGGACGUUCGGCUGCCCCAGCCCUAAGGUGUUGUGUUACGGCACUGAAGAGUCAAGGCUGCAAGAGGCAUGGAUGAAACUGAACAGCACAAACACGUCCCAGCAACGCCUUCAACCUCUGUGCAUCACAGGCAGAGUAAGUGCCACUGACAGAUCACACCAGCCUCCUCCACAAGGACGGAGGGAAUUAAAAAAUAUAUAUAAAAAUCAAAUAAUAAUAGCAGCAAGCGACCAAUAGAGGCAUUUUUUUUCUAAUUAAAAUAGCAAUUGACAAGCUCCACCAUUUGCAACAGUGCUUCCCUAAAUGCAGUAGUGCUAUGUUUGUCAGGACAUUUAUAAUGGCUUUAUAACACAUAUUUCCCUUUCAAAAUGCUAUUCAAUAGUAGAAAACCCACAUUCCAUCCACCAAAAAAAUAAGUCUCAGUGACCCAAUUUUCUAGAGAAGAAUGAAUGUCCUCUCCCUUCUGACUCUCAUUAGCCACCUGCAUAUUGGAAAACUAACAACAAGAGCAAUCAGCACACAGCACAAGGUCCCAGUGCCAUGACCAGAAGGGCUUUUGCCCCAUCCCUGUAUCAGCACAUCCCUAGGAACCUGCAACCAAUCCCUACCCCACAGCCAUCCCACGCAUCUGCAGCACUCCAUGGCUCAGCUGAGAAUACCACGCAGCCUGAGCUGACGUGGGCCGGUGAUUUAACAUCUGCAUCCCACCCUGGUGCCAAGCCCGUCUUUUUUCCAAUACUCAGCAUCCCUCCAUGCACAUGUAAAUAUCCAAAGGGAAACACUGCUGCAGAACUUUUGACCUGCACCGUAAUCCCAGACAGGACGUUAUAGCAACACCUGCAAUGCGCUCUGGCUUUUCCAGCUGAGAGCACUGUGAUCAUGGCACUGCCGUCCCCUCGGGGCACCACAGAUGACCAUGAGCUAAUGAGCACAGUGCAGACACUCUGCAGGAUUUUUGUUCUGAGGCAAUGAGAAAUGGUUCACCAGAAUUGGAGAACCCAAGCAGAGAUGCUCAGGAAGACGUAACCGGUGCCGAAUGAGUUCAGUUCUCCUCUCGUUUUGCCUUUAUACCACAAUGUCUCUGUGCAGACAAAACCUGAGAACUGUCUUCUGAUUUUUCAGACCAGUUUCUCAUCCCUGUGACAGCAGUGUGAUGUAGAGAUCACAAAACCCAGCCAGUCCCCAGCACUCCUUGCUACAGCUUCACACAUCAGCCCUCGCACAUCCAUGCUGAAGGGGGUGCUGGCAAAAGCAAAAACCUUGGUUCUCUCCCUCUCUUCCAGUGAGAAACCAGAGAGAUCCCCAGCUCUUCUCAUUGGAAAAGUGUCAGCUUGCACUGAAAGGGUUUCUGCAGGUCCUAUGUUGUAAAUGAACAAAGAUUAAAAAAAAAAACACAACUUUUUUUUUUCCCUAAACUCAAGUGAAAGGAAGAGUGUGACAAGGAGUCAGGAGUCUGUCUGGCGUGGAAUAUUCCUGCAGCACUCGGGGCUGUGGUUUAUUUUACUGGUGGUGACUAGUUCAAGCCACAUUUAGUCAAUAAAUAUGAGAUAUGAGGUCACCCCGCCAUUUAGCUGUUACCCUGUCUACAUAUUUCACAGCUGGGCAGUAACCUUUUAACUAGCGUCUACCUCGGUGGGGAGUCUCCAUAAAAAAAGAGCCAGGAUCCCUUGGUCGUGGUGGGGGACCCAGGCGCAGGAGCUCCACAAGGAGUUCUGAGCAGAAGGGCCUGCACCAGGCUCUGCCUUUUGCUCUCAUGCCCGUUUGCAGCGCACAGCACCCAGCUGGGCUACGUGCAGGGAUCGGGUGAUGGAGCCACAUCCCAUGUGCUGAGCUCUACAGUAAGAUCCCCCUACUUCUAUGUGGAGAUAGGCCACACGACAAGUUUCCUGUAAUUCCCAGCUUUGGGAGCACCUAUCCAAGGUGAAUGUUUCCAAGGAGCUCAACACCUUCAAAGGGUUUGUUCUCCUCUGCCUGGGUCCACAGCUUCUCCUGUGUGCCUUUACCCUCCAGAAUGAGGGUAUCUCUGUGUUUCUGAGCUCAUAACUCAGGCUAAGUCUGCCAAAGAUUAAACACCCCUGAGCCCAUUGCUCACAUUUCCCACGAGCACAAGAGUAACAGUUCCACACACAGCUGGGAGAGGAUGGUGCAUCCCCAGCUCUGCCCCAGCCUGGUGGGAAACCUCCAGGCUUCAAGUAAGGGAUUCUGAUGCUCCUGUCCCCCUCUGGCACUGCCCAUGAGAAAGCAGUGAGCAUGAGCACAGCCUGAGCCAAAGCUCCUGGCCAACCUCCAGAGAAGUGUGCGCAUCCCCACCAAAACGAAACACGAGUGGACGUGGCAAGAAAAGCGCAGGGAAGAGAAAGCAAACAAAAGCAAAAGAGAGAGGCCACGCAGAGGGAGGAGAGCUGUGAGGCAGAGCACAGAGCUGCGCUAUUUGCUCCGCAUGCUGUGCUGCGGCACACGGAGCCCUGGGGCCUGGGCUGGCACUGCGUGUAGUGCCCGAGAGGGAGAGGCAGGCAAGCAGCGAGCUCCUGCCCCUGGCACACUGGGAAUCCCAGCCCAGCUCUGCCUCCCGACGUCACGCUAAGGCUCAGCACCAACACGGCUCCUCCCAGCUCUGCUGGAGCCUCCGAAAUCGGAACCUCUGCUGUCAGCUGCCUUUUAUAGGGCUAUAAAACCGACAGCUCGUGGGCAGACGUUGGCCAGCAUCAGCCUCUGCCACCUUCAGCAUUGCUCCUGCACAUGGUCCCCAGAGCCACACUCCCCAGAGCCACCUCCUGGUACCCAGCCAACAGCCCCACAGAUGGACAAGCAGACAUGGACAGACGGACAUACAGAGCCACAGAUAACUUGGCCAGACAGAAGAAGAGAAAAGAGAUGCAGCAAAUCUCAGCACCUUAAGCAAGAGUUGCUCAUCACUGGCCCUGAGGUCUCUGAACCAAGAAAAUACCACUUCCAAAGGGGCUGCUGCUGGGGAACUGCUCAAAUCAAUCUCUCCUCCCCCUCACCCAUAGCAUCUGUACAAACCAACAGGAGCCCCUUCAGAUAGCAGCCAUCCUUCCAGCACGAGUCCUACCUAACAGGGAGCAGCAAGGAGGCUGCACGUGCUGCAGCCCUUGUUUGAACAUCUGCUGUCUCUAAUAGGAACAGCAAGGCACAGCACACUGACAUGGGUUACAAUAGAAGGGCUUUAGAAUUGUGUCUCAUAAUCUACAGCUGGGCAGAAUCUCACUGCUGCCGGUUGGUCCCAUCACCAGCACAACAUCCACCAUCCCACACAAUGUGAUUCUCUAGCCAGGGACUUCAAUGAGGACAGCAUGAUCGUCUAAUUGGAUUUCUGCUCUCAAUUAGGGCAGAGGAAAACCAAAUACAAAGCUGACCUGGAAAGCUUCAGCCAUCUGCACCUACAAAUGGCUAAUCUGCAACCAAGGAGCAUACAACAAGGACACAAAACAUAGUCUCAAGGUGCGCAUUGACUCACCUGCUUCCAACUGAGACCAGAGAUGCACCAGCAGAGCCUACAUGUAGCAGAACGUUACACCUCCAUUCCCUGCAGCACUGGGGUUGAACCAGAAAGAGUCAGUUCAGCUCUGAGCCCUCCCUACCACCAGCAACAUGCUUAGCUGUGAGAUCCACACUGAAUAAGAGGAACCUCAGCAAAAUCCCAUUGGUUUCACCUUGAAAUUAGAUGGAGAUCAGGGCCUAACAAGCAGCUGAAGCAAAGCAAUUACCUAGACCACAUGUUGCCAAUCAGAUGCCAUGUGAGGCUCGUUAUUGCAGCCGAAAGGUUGGAGUGGCUGCUCAAGCAUUUCCACGUGGUGCUGGAAAAUGAGCACCAAAAGAUAAAUGAGUCAGUACAGGAGCAAUAUGAGCUGAUGGCCAGUGCACCCCCCCACACACCUGGAGCUGCAAGGAGAGUCAACCAAAGCACCAGUGGUGGCAUCGCCUCAUUGCAUGACUGCAUGUACUAAACGAUGAAGCAAAGCACUUCUUGCUGCUGCUGUAACACAAGGGCAACGUGCAGCAUUCCCACCCUGUGCUGCUGGCAGCUGAGCCCCGGCACUGCCCUGCAGCGCUCCUCUGCUGGCUGCUGGGCUUCCACGUUAUAGUGCUUAACCAUAUCUUGCCAGCUGAUAAAGGAUCAGGAUUUGCAUAUGUUUGCAUGGCACAUUUGCAUACAUACGGCAAUAAAUUCUGCAGUAUGAACACACCACCAUAGAUGGGUGCAACCCCAGCAGCUCCACGCAACUCCACUCUCAUCCCAGCACCACAUCCCCUAUCCCACAGAGGGAGCAGAAACGAGUGUAACCCUCAUGAUGGCGAACUCCACCCCAUUGCAUAUUGUGCUGAUGCAAAGGAAAAAUGCAUGCUGCUUUUUCCUCCUUCCCCCCAAAAAGCCAAUUCCUCAGCAGCAUCCUCAGAUCCCAUGGGCUGCGGUGGGCGCUCAGCCCUGGGUCACAGCAGGGAGCCCGCCCGCGGCACACCGCGCAACCGCCGGAUUUAUGCCACCUCUCCUAAUGAUCAGCUGUGGACACGGAGGAACUCCCAGCAAUUUCCACCCUCGGUAGACACAGGUUUUCAGCACCGGCUAUUUUUGCUGCCCACAAGUAUUUUCAUUUAGCUGGUUGGAAAUCAGGGCUAUAAACGGAGGAGGUUGGAUGCAGAGCGCAAGCAGCUCCGUCAGAGACCAAAGGAGAUGCUGCCAUUCUCACCCACACGCCGUGAGAUUACUGCCUGGCCUUCUUCCAGAGGGGCUUCCAAGCUGGUUUCUCCUUUCUGCUGAGCAAUCUGGAACCUGACUUUCCUCCGCUGUGUGUUUUCCUCAGUGGUGGAUGGAGGGUUCAGCCUAACGUUGUCAGCACUGCUGCUCCAAACGCACUGGAGGGGAGCCCGGUUUUAGGGCGCGUCAGCAGAGAUGAGAAGUGAAGCCCUGGUGGUCACCAGUUCCAUCCUACAGCAAGGCAAAAAAUGAAAUGAAACUUCAUGGAGGUGGCACAAAUAGCAAACAGAGUGGAAAGAACAAAUGCUUAGGAAAAAAAAAAAAAACAACAGCAACAAACCACAAGGGCUGCGAGCAAAGUGGUUAUAGAAAAUGGUUGCAAGCUUAAGUGUGAUUCAGAGAGUCUUGUCUGAGUGUCAGAGGUUCAAUACUAUUGCCUCCAAUUUAAAUCAUUUUUAAAAGAAGUGCAAAAGAAAGGUGAUGAAAGGGCCCUAACGUUGUUCCCUGGUCUGAAAAACACAGCCCACUUGUGCACUGUGGUAAAGUUUUGCAUUUUGGCUAGACAUCGCGUGCAGGGCUGUGCUGAAGCCUUUGCUUAUUUUUAAAAGUUGAAGUCACCGGUGAUCUGUGAAAGGAGAAAAUGCUUUUUCCUUUGAGGAAGAUGCCAUAGGACCAACAUCUCCUGGAGGGGGAGAGUCUGGGGGGGACAUUCCGUGCAUCUGUGCCUCCUGGUCCAACGAAGCACGGGGAAGACCAGUCCUUGGAGUGAAACCUCCUGUUUGGGGGCUUGGGCUUCCAUAACUGCGCUCCUGUUGCUGUGCAGCAGUGCUUGGGGAUGUUCAGACGCAGACAUUGCAAGCCUGGGCUUUUCCCCAUUGGUGUGUUGUGGAGGGGUGGCAAGGCCGUGGCACCCACACACAAGGACAGGCACACAUCCCCUACGUCUGGGAGCAGUCACCCAACACAAAGUCAUCCCCUUCCCCUUGGAUGUGGGGUGCAGGAUCCAGCCCUGGUUCUCGUCCUGGACAUCCCCAGCCUGGCUGCCAGCCUUGCCUGGGAUUCCUGGUAGGGAGGGCUGAGCCCUGUGCCUCCUCCAAGGUAAAUACACCAGGCUUUGGGCAGUCUACUCCAUGGAGGCUCUUUGCUGCAGCCUGUCUGCUCUGACCAGAUGCUGGAAGUGCUGCGGCUCAAGUAGACAUCAACCUCCUCUUGAAAGCCUGUGGGGCUGCAGUCCUUGCAGAGACCCCAGCAGAGCCAAGGGGACAUCACUGGGAUGUCCCAUGAGGGAUGAUGGGAAGGCAGCACUGGGUGAAUCCAGGAUCCAUUGGCAGGAGCCGAGCACCAAGUGCCCGGCGUUCAUCCCCAUGGUCUUCAGAGCCAGCACGGGGUCAUGGCAAUGCAAAAACCCUUUGCUCACCAAAGGGGAGGUAAACGCCAGGCACUGGCACCAAGAGCCAGGCACAGAGGUCUGAGCAACAGUCACUUCCCUGAUGAAGACUGUCUUGCACAUUUGGAAAAAAAGAUUCCCUGUUUUUCUAUAUUAUUCAGGCACCCAGACAGUUUAGGCACCGAGCUGGGCUUGAUAAUCUGACCUGAGAAGGGAUUGUUUCUGUCCCUGCUCUGAAUCUUAGAUUUUAAACUCAGCGUGAGCCAUUAUUAUCAUCCAUCUCCUUUGUGACACAGGCCAGAGACUUUCACUGCUGUACCAGAGCAAUAACUUCUGGUUAAGCCUGCCAAAAACCUUCUAUGCAGAUAUUCCCUCUGUAUUUUAAAGGAGAGGCAUGCACAAUAAACACCAAUAAACACCUUUUCCUUACAGCAACCUGAUGGAGUUGGGGUGUCUGUGUAUAGGUUUCUACCAAAAGAUGAGUUGAACAAUUGUGUGACUUCUUUUUUUUCCUCUCCUCCUGCUUAUGCGGUGAGUUACU